CACGGGGGUUGCGAGCGUUGUCCGGAAUUACUAGGCGUAAAGGGCAGGCAGGCGGAUCCAUAAGUUUAUCGUUUAAGGCGUCGGCUUAACCGGCGUAGGGCGGUAGAUACUGUGGAUCUGGAAUGCGGUUGGGGAAGACAGAAUUCCUGGUGCAGCGGUGGAAUGCGCAGAGAUCAGGAGGAAUACCGAAGGCGAAGGCAGUCUUCCAAGCCGUUAUUGACGCUCAACUGCGAAGGUGUGGGUAUCAAACAGGAUUAGAUACCCUGGUAGUCCCU
rnacentral:rRNA from 1 species